GGUUCAACAGAGAAAACAGAUGGCUCCACAGGCUGGUUAAAGGACCAAAGUCCCCACAUUCCUCGGUGCUGAUAUAUAAAGAACAGUCAAAGCAGGAGGAGCAAGAUCUCACCUUGAUCCUAUACCUGUAAUUUAGACCCUGACCUUCUGGCUUAGUGAGAUUUAGUUUUCCAAAAGCAGAACUGAGUUAGAGAAUAUUCAACCCACCUGCUUACCUGUGAGAUACCAAGAAGGUGUUAGCCAUGAAAACAGUGUCAUUUGUUGACUGCUGUACUUCUUCCAAAAGCACAUCUGCCAUGGUGCACUGGAGUAGGCGAGGGAGCUCCUCAUUACGGUCCCCAUCAAACAUGCCAUACACGGCUCCCACCCCCUCUGCAAAGUUAUCCACAGCUAGGGCAGAUACACACAGCCUGUAACACAAAUAUGAAAGAAACAAAGAUCAAAGAAAGUUACGGUAAAAGCGUUAUUCUCCAGGGAAACUUCUUUGAAAAGUAUUAGUUGAGGGUGGAAAGAACAGUAAAUUCUAAUCUACACAUGAAAUAAGUAUUAGAUAAUUAAGUAGCAUCUGAAAGAGGUGAUGUCAUAAGAAGUGGGGGAAUUCAGCCCUACUCAGGAGCAGUACAUACUAGCUUUGCAAUGCUGCCAAAGGCUGGAAAGAUGAAAUGUUUUCCCUUAGCAAUGAUUAAUGACUAGUAUGGCCAACAUCCUUCAGUCAAAGAUCCCCAGAAGCACAAUGACGGUUGGACAAGUUGGGUUUGUUAUGCUUUGCAGCAAUAGAGAAUGUGUACCAUGGAACUCUGGGGUGAAUAGGUUAAGAGCGUGUUGGAGAGAAUCUACUACAGGAUUUGGGCUUUUGUUGGGUCAUUUUGGGGACCGUCUAAUGAAAUAGGGGAUCAUCCAAGACUGGGUGCUAUCAGAACAUGGGGCCAUUCUGUGGUUGGCUAUCUCAGUAAAUCUUAACUAUAGGGAAAGAAGAUUAGCAGGAGGAUAAAGCUGUAAUUGGUAAAGAAAGUAGCAGUCACCAUUUUAGCCUUGAGAGGGGCUGUUUGGUAUUUUGUGGACUGUACAUUCAUCUUGUGUUUGUCACACUGCAUCACAGUCUCAGGGGGACCUUCUCUGAGGCUGGCAUUCUAUGAUCUGUUUAUGUUCCAGAGGAGAACAACAUGGCCUAGCUUUCAGCAUCAGAUCAGAUGUCAGGGGCUGCCUUUUUCAUUUCUCUCCAUGGCCAAGAUACUCACUUAUUUCUCUGCCCUGCCAUCUCAGCCAGUCCAUGGCUCCAGAAGGUUGAUGUAACUGUAGAAUCGGUGGUUGGCAAAGGCUUCUGAUCAAUUUUCAGGGUUGUGAUAUGGCUGUGGGAAGUGCAGGAAGGGAAGGUUAAACCACAUAUCCUUCUGUGUUUUACAAAAACUAUCCCAGCAAGAACAUGUGUUUUUAUAAAAUUAUCUGUUGACAGACCAAGAUUCAUUUACAGAGAGACUGCAUGAAAGUAGUGUACUGAUCUACUGGCCAAGAAGGAGGAGAAAGGAAAGGGGUAGGUAGGAGGAAGAAACAGGGGCCAAAUAUUGCUACAGCUGAUACUGUUCAUUUCAAUGAAAAACGAAGCACAACAGAUUUCAAAGUUUUAGCCAAAGUUUUAGUCUACUUAAAUAUUCUGAUACAACAAAGUCUUGGUGCAAUGAAUGAGCCUGCAUCAUUUCUUCGAUGACGUAAUAUAAUGUAAUCGGUGUCACCUAAGAUGUCUAUGUGAAAAUAUUCAGUGUGUGGGUGUGGCUGAGCAGUAGCCAUGACACUGAGUUCUGAUAUAAAUGGGCUGUCUACUGGAUACACUAUCCAUCCAUAACUGAAUUAAACGAGAGACUGAGGGGCUUUAUGGCCUAAUUCAUUCUAUUCCUUUAAUUAAUCAAGAUCUCUACAGAGCUUUAGGAGAUCCACACAUGGCUGGGAGAACUAAGAGACAUGUGGAUUCAACUUCAAAAUUUUUCCUACCUAAAUGUGUCCAGCGUCUUGUGUUCCAGAACCAGAUUUGUAUUUCCGGUCAGGUCAAGGUCUUGUAAAGUAGCAGGCAGAGCCUCCGGAAUCAAGAUCUCUGUCAAGUCAUUGCAACUUAGGUCUACAAACUGAGAGGAAAAUGGAGAAAUCAAAAGCAAAUACAUCACAGAGACUGAAGUUAAGAAACUCCCUAACUCUCGGCCCCCUAGUGUAUCCCCAAAGAAAACUUCAUUUCUUCCCAGGAAUCAAUAAAAUCUAUUGUGAUCCCAAACUGCCACUUGCUUCCCCUUUAUGAGAAGAGAACACCCUGCCAUUUCUCCAGCAGGACACCAUUCCAUCACAUAAAAGUACCUGGAUCUGAGGCAACUGCAGAAUUUCUGGGAAAAUGCUGAUGUUGUUGGAGUGUGCGACAAGGGUGUGAAGCCUUCUGCAGUUGGCUAUGGUCGUGGGAAUGGUUUUAAGCUUGUUGCCACUUAGGUUCAGUUCUUCCAACUGCUCCAAUUUAUUCAGUUUGCUGAAAAACAAAUAACAACAUAGCACAAUGCACUCAAAAUGAGAAGAUGCCAAGCCAGUUUUAUAGCAGCCACACACAGAGUGCAGCGGCGACCUGGUCUGCUGCCAGAGGACUGGUCAGAGUGAAACAGCCAGACACCAACAAAGGGAACGGCUCCUCAAGGUGACUGUUCCUGCUGAAUCUCAGCCUCAUCUGCUUCUCACUGUGUUUCAAGGACUGAAGCUUCCCUUGAUUCUCUUAUAGCUGCUAGAUCUUGUGGGUAUGAACAUUAUCUGACUUAUGGGAAGUGGCUGAAUCAGCACUAGCCCACUGUUGGAAGAUUAUUAUGGUACUUGCUUGGCCACUGACUAGUUGCAAAAUACUGUGAUAUUUAAUGUCAGUGGAUAUCAAUAUCCUCAGCUAUAAAGUACUAAAUCAUGACUAAGAUUCCAUUCAGUGUUAAAUUUCUACAGUUACCUAUUAAUAACAUAAUCCAUCUUCAGUAGACAUUUAAGGAGUGCUUACUAUAUGUAUAGCCAUGUGCCACAAACUGUGAUAUAAGCAAAUCACAUUGUUCUACGGGACUAAGCAAAGCUUUCUACACAACAAGCAAAAUGUCUUCAGACAGCCUCACAUCUUUAUCUAGAUUAUUACAAACUGCUCUGAUUUAUUUAUAAUUUAUUGAUUUAAAAAUUAUAAAAAUAAUAAACUGCCAUAAUGUGGAGAAAGUUUGGAAAAUAAAUCAACAAUACCACCAAUCUGAAAUUACUUUUCUCAUUUUGCUAAAUGAGAUUCAUAUUUAGAAUUUUCAUAUGCAUAUGUGUUUUAUAUAAAAUUUAUGUCCUACCAAAACUUUUAUAUGUAUUUUACAUAAAAUUUAUAUCCUUCCCUUUCUACAUAUCAUAAACAAUUUCUUUUUUUAAAGUUUAUUUGUUUUGAGAGAGAGAGAGAGAGAGAGAGAGAGAAAGAGAGCACAUGAGCAGGGGAGGGGAAGAGAGAGAGAGGGAAAGAGAAUCUCAAGCAGGUUCCACACAGUCAGCGCAAAGCCUGACGCGGGGCUUGAGCUCAUGAACUGUGAGAUCAUGACCUGAACUGAAAUCAAGAGCUGGAGGCUUAACCAACUGAGCCACCCAGGAGGCCCUCCAUAGAUCAUAAAUAAUGUCUAUUGAUAGAAAAUUCAUAAAUACUUUUUAGUAACCAAACUCAGUAAACUAAAAUUGUUUCCUUUCUGAUUACAAAAGUAAUGUAUACUCAUUGAAAAAAAAAAAACCUGAAAAAUAAAGAUGAACAGAAAAAAAUUCUUUUAAUCCUACUACCAGAGAUAAUCUCUUAUAAUAGUUUGGUGGAACAUAUUCUUGUCCUUUUUAAUGCAAUAAACUACAUUUUUCAAAUUAAAAAAUGAUGUUAUAUUAUAUAUAUUAAUAACCCCACUAUUUUUUAAUUUUCUUUUUAAAUUUUACUUAACAUUUUUAAAGUGUUCUCCUGUCCAAAUCUCCUGUUUUUUCUUUUUUUUUUUUUCCAACUUUUUUUUUUUUAAUUUAUUUUUGGGACAGAGAGAGACAGAGCAUGAACGGGGGAGGGGCAGAGACAGAGGGAGACACAGAAUCGGAAACAGGCUCCAGGCUCCGAGCCAUCAACCCUGAGCCUGACGUGGGGCUCGAACUCACGGACCGCGAGAUCGUGACCUGGCUGAAGUCGGACGCUUAACCGACUGUGCCAUCCAGGCGCCCCUCCUGUUUUUUCUCUUAUACUACUCCCUGCUUGGAUCUAACUUGUAAGAAGAAAUGCAGGAUCCCUAUCUCAGCCAGUUUCUUACUGAGCACCCAGAACUACACUAGAUUCUCAAAGUAGUCCAAAAUAAACAAGAUUCGGGGGCACCUGGGUGGCUCAGUGGAUUAAGCGUCCAAUUCUUGAUUCAGGCUCAGGUCAGGAUCUCACACUUAGUGAGAUCAAGUUCUGAGUGGGGCUAUGCUCUCUCUCUCUCUCUGCUCCUACCCCCCUCACACGCACGUGCUCUCUCUCAAAAUAAAGAAAAAAAAACAAGAAACAGAAGAUUUGGACUAUGCCUGUGUAAUUAAACACUGUUCAGGAGAUGAUUUGACAGUGGACUUAUUAUUCAGUAUAGAACAUACAUUUUAAUAUACCGCUCCUAAAUUCCAUUUAGUUUUAUUAUCUGUAAAGUACUUUAAUUUUGUGUGAUCUCUUCUUAAUUCUUAUCUUUACUUCUAACCUAUUUUCAUAAUCUUUAAUGAGUUUUAAGUUUUGUAUCAGCCUGCUUUUGACUUCCAACAAUAAGAAUGUCAUCAGAUUAGGAGGAAUUCAUUAGCUUCAGAGUAUCAUAUCUGGUAUCUCCCAAUAGCUUCAUAAGCCAAUAUGACUUGUCAACGGUCUGUUUUCACUUUACAGGAACAUAUCUGAGGCCAACGGAAUUAAUCUGACAGGAUUAAGAUUCUGCAUUCACUUUAAAAGCCAUUGUUCAAAUUCUUUGAAGGAAGUAAUCUUGUCCUUGCUUGUCUUCUAUAAGCUCCAAAUACCUCAUUUCAUAAACAUUCACAAAAAUUAUAAUCUCUAAGGGUGCCUGGAUGGCUCAGAUACAGUGUAGUACUCUUGAUUUCAUCUCAGGUCAUGACCUUAUGGUCAUGAGAUAGAGCCCCGGGGCAGGUUCCUUGCUGGGUAUGGGACCUACUUGAGACUCUCUCUCUGCUUCUCCCCUGCUCAUGCUCUCCUUGCUCUCUCAAAAAAAAAAAAAAAAAAAUUAUAAUAUCUCCAUGAAUUUUUCUAAGUUUAUCACAUUUCUAAGAAAAUGUGUAAAAUAUCAUCAGAAUCAAAAUAGCUUUGUUUUCCAAUUAUAUCAAACAUAUAAUUUCAAAUUAUAGUACAAAUGAUAUAAUUUUAUAUGAUAUAUAUAAUUUCAUUCAAAUUAUAUAAAAUGUCAUUUUCAUAUAGUCUUCAUUUUUGAAAACAUGAUUUUUAAUGAGUACUUUCAUGGUAUAGAUGGAUUUUUCUGGCAUCAAAUCUUCCCCAAUUUUUUUUUUAUCAAAUGUAUUUUGGAAGAUAUUUAUUUCUCCACGAACACUGUUUAAAACUUUGACAGCAUUAAAUAUCUCGCUUAUAUUUUCUUAUAGGUAUAGCCUGGCUAUAUCACCUCUUCCUCCAGGAAGGCCAACCCCACCCCCAGGUACUGUAUGGUGCAGUUAGCUACCUAUGCAUAUUUUUAACAUCCUGCAUUCAUUCAUUCAUUCACUCGCUCAUUCAGAUUUUAUUUUUUAAAUUUUUUAAAAUGUUUAUUUAUUUUUGAGAGAGAGACAGAGGCAGAGUGUAAGUGGGGAAGGGGCAGAGGGAGGAAGAGACACAGAAUCCAAAGCAAGCUCCAGGCUCUGAGCUGUCAGUACAGAGCCCAAGGGGGGAUGGAAGAAACAAACCAUGAGAUCAUAACAUGAGCUGAAGUCGGAUUCAACUGACUGAGCCACCCAGGCGCCCCCAGAUUUUAUUUUUAAGUAAUCACUACACCCUUAUGUGGGGCUUGAACCCACAACCCCAAGAUCAGGAGUAACAUGCUCUACCGACUGAGCCAGCCAGGCACCCCCAAAUCCUGCAUUUAUUAAACUGCGUUGCAAUUACCUAUUGUCUAUUUCCCUAAUUUGACUGUAAGUUACUUGAAGACAGAGACUGUAACCUAAUCACCACUGUUUCCCCAGUACUUAUGCUGUACUUGAGAUACAGAAGGCAUUCAAGAUAUAUAUAAAACAAAUAAAUUAUGGACUCAACAGUAUAUUAUAAAACAGUUUUGACAAAAAAAAAAACUUGUUUUCAGAAUGUAUUUCAUAAGCUUGUACUUGUCUAGGCUGAAAAUUCUCAGACUAUUAUUAAGUCAUUACAACAAAAAAUUAAAUGGAUUUCAGCCACGACUUCUGGUUACGGAUACUUAACAAGUGGGUACAGAUUUUUCCAUUCAACUAGUAGAAUCAUAGCACUAGUAAGUUGCGCAACAUAAAGCACGAGUACCCAGUAAGAUAGCUGUAACGUAGACUGGCAAAUGCAGAUUUCACGCUAUGUGUCUGAAAUGACUGAAGUCUGCAUCUGCUUACCUUGCAGGAAAGGUCUGUAGCUGGUUGUUUGCAAGAUGCAAGAUUCGCAGGUGUGGAUGCCCCACCAGAACGGGCACACACUGGUCUGUCAGGAGGUUGUUCGUCAGAUAAAGCAGCUGCAGAGCACUCAGACUCUCCUCUCCAGUGCCAGCGGAUGGCAAAGAUUCCAAACUGUUUGCAGAUGCAUUCAAGUAUCUGAGACUGAUGGAACACACACAAAUCAUCAUUUACUUUAUGGUUAUUUGUUACCGUCACACCAUCUCGGUAUAGGAUGCUGUCGUUUCAUGCUCCCCAA
rnacentral:lncRNA from 1 species